rnacentral:rRNA from 1 species
CCUACGGGAGGCAGCAGUGAGGAAUAUUGGUCAAUGGACGCAAGUCUGAACCAGCCAUGCCGCGUGCAGGAAGACGGCUCUAUGAGUUGUAAACUGCUUUUGUACGAGGGUAAACGCAGAUACGCGUAUCUGUCUGAAAGUAUCGUACGAAUAAGGAUCGGCUAACUCCGUGCCAGCAGCCGCGGUAAUACGGAGGAUUCAAGCGUUAUCCGGAUUUAUUGGGUUUAAAGGGUGCGUAGGCGGUCGGAUAAGUUAGAGGUGAAAUCCCGAGGCUCAACUGCGGAAUUGCCUUUGAUACUGUUCGGCUAGAGAGUAGUUGCGGUAGGCGGAAUGUAUGGUGUAGCGGUGAAAUGCUUAGAGAUCAUACAGAACACCGAUUGCGAAGGCAGCUUACUAAGCUACUUCUGACGUUGAGGCACGAAAGCGCGGGGAGCAAACAGGAUUAGAUACCCUGGUAGUC